GACGAACGCUGGCGGCGUGCUUAACACAUGCAAGUCGAACGGAAAGGCCCUGCUUUUGUGGGGUGCUCGAGUGGCGAACGGGUGAGUAACACGUGAGUAACCUGCCCUUGACUUUGGGAUAACUUCAGGAAACUGGGGCUAAUACCGGGUAGGAGCUCCUGCUGCAUGGUGGGGGUUGGAAAGUUUCGGCGGUUGGGGAUGGACUCGCGGCUUAUCAGCUUGUUGGUGGGGUAGUGGCUUACCAAGGCUUUGACGGGUAGCCGGCCUGAGAGGGUGACCGGCCACAUUGGGACUGAGAUACGGCCCAGACUCCUACGGGAGGCAGAAGUGGGGAAGAUUGCACAAUGGGCGGAAGCCUGAUGCAGCAACGCCGCGUGCGGGAUGACGGCCUUCGGGUUGUAAACCGCUUUCGCCUGUGACGAAGCGUGAGUGACGGUAAUGGGUAAAGAAGCACCGGCUAACUACGUG
rnacentral:rRNA from 1 species